rnacentral:rRNA from 1 species
UACGUAGGGUGCAAGCGUUGCCCGGAUUUAUUGGGCGUAAAGGGCGCGCAGGCGGCUACGCACGUCCGUUGUGAAAUCGCCCGGCUCAACUGGGCGGGGUCAGCGGAUACGGCGUAGCUGGAGCAAGCUAGGGGGCAAUGGAAUUCCCGGUGUAGUGGUGGAAUGCGUAGAGAUCCGGAAGAACACCGGUGGCGAAGGCGGUUCUCUGGGCCUUACCUGACGCUGAGGAGCGAAAGCGUGGGGAGCGAACAGG